rnacentral:rRNA from 1 species
GGAGGCAGCAGUGGGGGGAUCUUGCACAAUGGGCGGAAGCUGAUGCAGCGACGCCGCGUGAGGGAUGACGGCCUUCGGGUUGUAAACCUCUUUCAGUUGGGACGAAGCCCUUCGGGGUGACGGUACCUUCAGAAGAAGCACCGGCUAACUACGUGCCAGCAGCCGCGGUAAUACGUAGGGUGCGAGCGUUAUCCGGAAUUAUUGGGCGUAAAGAGCUCGUAGGCGGUUUGUCACGUCUGCUGUGAAAGCUCGGGGCUUAACCUCGAGUUUGCAGUGGGUACGGGCAGGCUAGAGUGCAGUAGGGGAGACUGGAAUUCCUGGUGUAGCGGUGAAAUGCGCAGAUAUCAGGAGGAACACCGAUGGCGAAGGCAGGUCUCUGGGCUGUUACUGACGCUGAGGAGCGAAAGCAUGGGGAGCGAACAGGAUUAGAUACCCUGGUAGUCCAUGCCGUAAACGUUGGGCACUAGGUGUGGGGAACAUUUCCACGUUUUCCGCGCCGUAGCUAACGCAUUAAGUGCCCCGCCUGGGGAGUACGGCCGCAAGGCUAAAACUCAAAGGAAUUGACGGGGGCCCGCACAAGCGGCGGAGCAUGCGGAUUAAUUCGAUGCAACGCGAAGAACCUUACCAAGGCUUGACAUGCACUAGAUCGCCCUAGAGAUAGGGUUUCCCUUCGGGGCUGGUGUACAGGUGGUGCAUGGUUGUCGUCAGCUCGUGUCGUGAGAUGUUGGGUUAAGUCCCGCAACGAGCGGAACCCCUAUUCUAUGUUGCCAGCAAUUCGGUUGGGGACUCAUGGAAGACUGCCGGGGUCAACUCGGAGGAAGGUGGGGACGACGUCAAAUCAUCAUGCCCCUUAUGUCUUGGGCUUCACGCAUGCUACAAUGGCCGGCACAAUGGGUUGCGAGACUGUGAGGUUGAGCUAAUCCCAUAAAACCGGUCUCAGUUCGGAUUGGGGUCUGCAACUCGACCCCAUGAAGUCGGAGUCGCUAGUAAUCGCAGAUCAGA